UGAGAAUAAAAAAACAAGAGAAACAUUAAACUUUUAAACUUAAAAUGUCAACUAAUAAUAAUAUUUUUGUCAACUCCACAUACACUCAUUCGUGAGAAUUAUCGAAUCUAAUCAGCCACUAUGCAAAAUAAAUUAAAAUCCUUUGAUCUCUCCUUGCACUCUCAAGAGAUCGUAGCUUGGCACAAAGCAAGACCCACACCAAAGAAGUAAGCAAAAGGUCCAAGGCAAAGUAUGUUAUUCAAAAUUCUAUGGGAUCAUGAAAGUGAUGGAACAAGGCAAAUGAAAGUUUCGAAUCUGAAAAGAGAUUUUGAAGAUCUAAGCAUGGAAGAAGAUGAUUCUAUCAACAAACACUCUGAUAGAAUAUUUCCUUGAUCGUCAGCCAAAUCCGAUGAGGAAACCUGGAUAGCAAAAUCGUGGAAAAUCUUUUAGUGACGCUUCUUGAGAAAUUUGAAUCCAAGAUUUCCUCUUUAGAAGACUCCCUACAUCUUAGCAAAGUAAGACUUUGAUACAAAAAAAAUAAAAUAAAAUUACUAAAGCAGUCUUUUAUGUACAAAACCAAGACAAUAAAGGCAAGCACAAGUUUACUAGGAAAUGAAAGGAAAAAUUGUAGAUUAUUCUCUCCCCCAGACUAUCUCCUAAUUUUCUUGUUAUAAAUUCCAACAAACCUCGUGAAAAGUUAAAUAGUUCAUCACAACUUGUAACUGUGGUAAUAACAUGGCAUUUUGAUAGACCGAGUUGCAAGCUUAAGGUUAUUCACUUGGGAAGUUAUCUCCCACCUCUUGGAGAACUUCGGUUCCUACAUAUUUUGUUAUCGAAAGCUUGUUUUCAUAGGAAAUAGUCCUCCCUGAUUUAUUUGGACUUGGCGAUUCCGUAGGAUUUAAGUCAUAUUAAGUUUGUUAGUAUUACACAACUGACUGACUGGGAAUGUUUGAGAGAUCGUGACCUCAACUUUGACAAUUGCCCAAAGCUAAUGAGUUUACCAAAGUUGAAGUUACCUCACAGGUAUGGUUUGCUGUUGUUUGUCUGUAUUUUGAGAACCUUAUGUGUUCCUGACAUCCAUGAACAAGGAGAUAAUUUAAUUUUUCUCACUGCUAAUUUUUUAAACUUGUUUUAUUUUGAGGGAACAAUUGAGCUUCGAGUGUUUAGCUAUCUUUCCUAGAAUUGCAGAGAGUGUAAAAUUGAAGGCAUGAAAACAGCUCAAAUAUUCCAAAAAUAUUAGAACUCGCCAACCAUGACAGAAAUGAGUCGAGGGCAAGAAGGCAGCCAUGCACAUCUGAUGAAUAAUAGUCCUUGCUUAUUCACCUUACCUACCUUAUAUUAACACGUUCUAACCCAUUAGAUAAUACAGCUCACAGUCUGCUCUUCUUUGGUUCAUAUGUCCAACUAAUUUAUCCUUUCUGGACUUGUUCUCAAAAUUAUAAGAAGCAUUACACCUAACCAAAAGAUAUGCAUCCAUCCCCUUGCCAACCAAAUCCAAAAGAAAAACUUCCAUACGUGUACAAUUACAUAAAAUAAACUUCAGUCGUGCAAUAUGAAUUUUAUAUUUGAUCUACUAGCCCUUUUUAAAAGUCUUGGCACUCCUUAGAAUAUUCCCACUACUAUUUAACCAUUAAUAUCUUAGUUAUCUAAAUAUUGUGUGCUCUAGUAGUUGACAUAUUGAAGCUAUUAUGGAGGAGACAACUUUACCAGGCCACCUGUCUUACAAGACAAAAACUAACUAAACAACUGAAUAAAUUAAGCAGGCUUCUUGAAGUUGAUGCAUCUUCAAUUAAAUAGUAUGAAUAAAUUAAUUGUGUUAUAGUAUUGGCACCAUAUAUGGAGACAGAAAAAGGCAAAUCAUUCAACACCCACAUGAUAAUGAGAUGCGUCAUAUUUAUCCCAUAACUAAGAGGACUAACGAAAGUAAUCAGCAUACCUUUAGUUGGACAAAUGUAAAGCAGGUUUACAAGUUCCAAAAAGAUCCAGCAGAGCAAUCACAUGCUGAUUCAAUUAGGCAAUUGCUUAUCUGGUCUCCUCCUAUGAUGCACUGCCUAUAAACACCAACUCUCAAGCUUCAAUUCCAUCACAACAUUGAGAAAUUCCCUCAUCAGAAAGAAAACCAUACGAAAUGGACGCUCUAUCUUCAAAACCCAAUCAUGUUCGAUCAAUCAGUUUGCCUGGGAGAUCACACCCUUUCACCCAAAGAGUUGAAGAGGAGCUAAACAAGCUCAAAUCGUUAUCAGUUGCACCAACAGCAGACACUGUGUACAAUGGUCUACUCAGGAUUGGAGAAAUUAUACAAGUCCAUAGAUGAUCUUUUCAACUUGCCACAAACCCUCUGCCAAAGUCUAGAUGCUGAAUGGGUUGAAGAUUUAUUGGACAAAUCCGUGAGGCUUCUAGAUGUUUGUGGCACUACAAGGGAACUUGUCUCAAAAUAUAAAGAAAAUGUAAGACAUCUUCAAUCAUCUCUCAGAAGGAGAAAAGGAGAUUUAACUACAGAUGACAGCGUUACCAGAUUUACCUCUUUCAGCAAGAAGAUCAAGAGGGAUGCCAAAAGAUUAGCCUUGAAUUUGAAACAAAUGGAUCAAGCGGCUGCAGUACCGGUCUUGCUAGAUGCAGAUCAAGAUACAAUAGUUGCAAUUAGAGCACUAAGAGAAGCUAAUGCAGUGUGCAUUUCAACUUUCCAAAUGCUCUUGUCCUUCCUGUGUGUGCCACUUUUGAAGCCAAAACAAUCAAAAUGGUCAGUGCUUUCAAGAUUGGUACACAAAGACAGAAUAGUACCUAAAGUAGAAGAAGAAAACACGAGCUUAGAAACCAGGCUGGAAACCUUCGGGGCCUACCUUGACAGCUUUGAAAAUGCACUGGAAGCUACAUUUAGGUGCUUGAUUAGAUCAAGAAGCUUGCUCCUCAAUGUUCUUUCUUGUUAAUCUGGCAGUUGCUCCAUACUCUGCAAAUUGUACAUAAACAGUUUUGUAGUUAGGAAUAUAUAAACUUCAAGUGAAAGAUUAUAUACCACUUACUGCCUCUCACUCUCUCUGAUCAAAAUUUAAAGGUUUAUGCCUGUGAGUUUCAGCGCAAAGAAAGCACUUAGCAGUAUUUCUCCAUAACUGAUAUCAGUGUCUCAAAAAUGUCAAUAUCCAUUGAAAUGGUCCUCUUUAGACUAGAGGCGGAAAUAGAUAAAACGCAUGGCACAUUCAUUACAUACUUCCUCUGUAUAAUUGGUUUCAAAGAUCAAACUAAUGAAGGGCCAUAAUCUGGAUGAAAAGUUUCUUCCUUAUGCUCCUUAUUCACCAUACUUUAGGCAUCACUGAUAAAUUAGGAAUAUAGCUUAUGAUUUGCUUAUCUUACUUCAUGGUCCAUCUAGAUAUGGAGACCACUGUAACUAUGACAAUCUUGAUAUCAUCUGUCUUCCUUCUGAGACCUAAUCAGGAGGCUUAUCCUAUGUCCUUUUUCUUCUAGAUCCUAAGCCAAAUUCAACAAAGAAAACAAAACGAAGAUCUAGGACAAGGAUCUGGCACCAGAUCAGCGAGCAAAGCAGCCAACAGCAUUCUUUCGAAGAUAUAAAUGGAGCAAUUAACAAUGCCACUUUGCUCGACUCAAUAUCAGUUUUAUAUGAACAAGUAAAGUGGCAUUGCUCAGCAAGCUUAAUUGCACAGCUCCCAAAAAAUCCUCUAGCAGUCCUUGAAAACAACGAUAUGUACGCUCCCCAAAAAUAGAUUUGAAGUGUGGAUAGAAUUACUAUUUUGGAAGGGACAUAGGUGCCUGAUUAUAUUGCAGAGUUCUCUCCUAAAUAUCUUCCCAUGCUAAUCUGAAGUUGGCUAGACAUUUUUCACAUAUAUAAUGUCAUGGCCCGUGGCUAGCUUCUAAAUAUGUAGUGCCACGGACAGGCCCACUAGACUUUGUUUAGCCAACUGACAAGUGUGCCUGUGCCUAUGUCAGAUAUCUUCAAUCCUCUAUCAGAAAGAAAAGGAGAUCACUUAAGUACGUACAGAAGCCAGCUUUACCAGAUCACCUACUUCAGCAAGAAGAUUGGAUAGCCAAAGGUUAUUCCCGCUCUUAACUCUUAAAAAUGGAUGAAGACAUUGAGGAUUAGAAUUCCAAGAUUCAGAUAUGCACGCUACAUAUGUGAUUGGAGUACUAAGGGAAGCCAACCUAGUAUGCAUUUCAAUUUUGCAAAUGCUCUUGCUACUUCCUAUCUGUCCCAGUUAAAGUCAAACUCGUCUAAAUGGCACUGGUUUUGAGAUUGGUGCAUAAGGGAAGAAUAGCAUGUGAAAAGUCGAGCAGAUAACAUUAACUUUGAAACUAGUCUGGAAUCCUUCAAUGGUCACCUUGAGAGUUUUAAGGAUGAAUUAGAAGGAGCAUUUAGGUGCCUGAUUAGAUUGAGGAGCUCUCUCCUGAAUAUAUUCUCCCCAUCUGAUUCAAUCUGCAUUCUUAUGAGUUCCUUCCCCUUCAUACUUAUAACAUCAGAUAUCUCGGAAAGAAUAUGAAACUCAUGGAUUGUACCUUAUAAAAGUUUGUUAGUAAAGAAUGUAAAACUUCCUUCUCUUUGCCCCGGAGGGUGAGUUGUGUAGGAAAAUAACUAUGCAGUCAAUAAUUUAGUAAACAUUACACAAGCUCAGCAUAACCAGCCAUACAUAGAUGCACAAAAUUAAAUAUUUUUAUUUCCAAUACACCCGUGUAUCAAUUAUUGAUUUAAUUAAAAAUUGCUCUUUGAGUGAAGCAUCCUGAAGAAGCCACCUACUGCUGGACUAAUUAAAAGGAUGAAAAUCAUAGACAUACCUUGGGCAUCUUUAACCAAGUCAAGGAGAAGGAGUUCUUAGCUGUAAUCUUCCGGAUGGAGCCAAGGAAAAUAGCAGGAUAUGAAUGUACUGACAUAUAUUAAUUAGUUUUGCCCACCAUUUAUUGGAAGCAUUACAUCUAGUCCAGGAGCUUAUACAGAUAUGCUUCCAACCCCUUGCCAACCAAAUCCAAAAGAAAUACUCCCAUACGUGUACAACUCCAUAAGAUAAACUUCGGUCGUGCAUGUUGAAUUUUAUAUUUGAUCUACUAGCCCCUCUGAGAUCUUGACACCUUAAAAUAUUCCCAUUAUUCUGUCAUUAUUUACAUUUCAAUUAUCUAAAUAUAUAAUAUUCUAGUAGUUGAUGGAUUUAAGCCUUUAUGAGGAGACAGACUUACCUGGCCACCUAUUACAUGACAGAGACUAACUAAACAACUGAACAAAUAAAGUAGGCUUCUUGAAGUUGAUGCAUCUUCAAUCAAAUAAUAUCAAUAGAAAAGUUUUUUGUCAUAGUAUUGGCACCAUUUCUGGAGACAGAGAGGCAAAUCAUGCAAAAACUUAUGAUAAUUAUAUACCUCGCGUUCAUCUUAUAACUACGAGGCCACCAUUUCUGGAGACAGAAAGAGGCAAAUCAUGCAAACACUUGCAUGAUAAUUAUAUGCGUCGUGUUCAUCUUAUAACUACGAGGAUUAAUGAAAGUAAUCAGUACAACCUUUUGUUGGCCAAAUGUGUAUCAGGUUUACAAGUUCCAAAAAAGAUCCAGCUGUGCAAUCACAUGCUGAUUUAAUUAGGCCAUUGCUCAUCUUGUCUCCUCCCAUGGUUGUUUUCCUAUAAAUACCAACUCUCAAAAUUAAAUUCCAUCAAAACUUUGUGAAAUCCCCUAAUCUGAAAGAAAACCGUAAGAAAUGGCUUCACUUUCUUCAAAAUCCAAUCACGUUCGAUCAAUCAGUUUGCUCGGGAGAUCACACCCUACCAUCCAGAGAGUUGAAGAGGAGCUAAACAAGCUCAGAUCAUUGGUAGUAUCUGUUGCACCAACAACAGUGAGCAAUGGUCUAAAAGGUUUGGAGAAAUUGUACAAGUGCAUAGAUGAUCUUCUCAACUUGCCUCAAACCCUUCAUGCCCUCUCCCAAAGUCCACAUGCAAAAUGGGUUGAAGAUCUAUUGGAUAAAUCAAUGAGGCUUCUUGAUCUGUGUGGCACUGCAAGGGAACUUGUAUCACAAUGCAAAGAAAAUGUAAGAGAUCUCCAAUCCAACCUCAGGAGGAGAAAAGGAGAUUCAAACACAGAUGACAACGUUACCAGAUUUACCUCUUUCAGCAAGAAGAUCAAGAGGGAUGCCAAAAGAUUAGUGUUGGCCUUGAAACAAAUGGAUCAAGACACUACAGUAUCUGUUUUGCUAGAUGCAGAUCAAGAUACAGUAGCUGUGAUUAGAGCACUAAAAGAAGCUAAUGCAGAAUGCAUUUCAACUUUCCAAAUGCUCUUGUCCUUCUUGUGUGUACCACUUUUGAAGCCUAAGCCAUCUAAAUGGUCACUGCUUUCAAGAUUGGUAAACAAAGAAAGAAUAGCAUCACUAGUCUUAGAAGAAAACAUGAGCUUAGAAACCAGGCUCGAAAGCUUUGAGACUUAUCUUAUCAACUUCGAAGAUGGCUUGGAAGCAACAUUUAGAUGCCUGAUUAGAUCUAGAAGCUUGCUACUCAAUGUUUUCUCCUGCUAAUCUGGCAGUUGUUAUUCCAUAUACUGUCAAUUGUAUAUACACAGUUUUGUAGUUAUGUUGGAAAUAUACAAUCUUCAAGCGAUUGAUUAUACAUCAAUGUCUUUUUCUCUAUAUAUAUUAUUAGUAUUAUAUAUGGAACGUAUAUGAAUACUGCCAUAAACUGUGCAGUAGGACUUUAAUUCAAAUACCUGAAUGGAGUCCAAAUUUAACAGGUAAUGCCUAUGACUUUCAGCAUCUAGAAAGAAUUUGCAGCAUUGUCUAAAUCUGAUGUCAGGUUAAGUUUUACCCGGAAAAUAGCUCAAAAUAUCAUUGAAAUGAAUCUCCUUAAACUAGAGGAGAACCAGAUAAAACUAAUAGCAGAUCCUUUUACAUACUUCCCUUGUAUAAUUAGUGAAAUGAUCAAACGAACAAGUGAAUGAGAAAAUUCUAUGACUCCUUAAUCAAUAUUUAAGGGUAAGAAGCCACUUACCUACAUCCGGAAAAAGGUAUUUCUUCCUUAUUCUUCUUAUCCAUCAUUCUUACACAACGAUAAUUUAUUAGAUAAUAUUGAGAAUGAUAUCUGUUUCUAUUUGGUUCAUAGUCAACUUAGCUGUUGAGACCACCACAGCUUUUCUGCAUUUGUUCUUAAAAUUAUUGGAAGUAUUAGACCUAAAUCCUAAUCAAGAAGGUUUCUAUAUCCUUUAUCUUCUUCCUGCCUUCCCAAGGGAAUUCAACAAACAAAAAAUGGGGAGUGAAAUGCAGGUUGUUGGAGCCACCAUCACAAGGAUUUAGCAUUAGAUAGGCAGCAAAAGUGGCAGAGUGCUCUCUCGAACAUAUUAGCACUACAGUCAUUAAUACCACUUUAAAAGUGCAACCCAGUAUAAUCCCACUUAGUAGGGUCUGGGGAGGGUAGUAUGUACGCAGACCUUACCCCUACCCUGNNNNNNNNNNNNNNNNNNNNNNNNNNNNNNNNNNNNNNNNNNNNNNNNNNNNNNNNNNNNNNNNNNNNNNNNNNNNNNNNNNNNNNNNNNNNNNNNNNNNNNNNNNNNNNNNNNNNNNNNNNNNNNNNNNNNNNNNNNNNNNNNNNNNNNNNNNNNNNNNNNNNNNNNNNNNNNNNNNNNNNNNUUCUUGGGGAGACUCGAACUCACAACCUCUCGGUUGGAAGUGGGGGUUGCUUACCAUCAGAGUAAUACCACUUUAUUCAACACAAUAUCAGUUUGAUAUGAAUGACUUAAGAGUUUGGUGGCGUUAUUCAGCAAGUUUAAUGUGUUUGCUCCCAAUAAAUUUACUAGCUGGUCUGAAAAGCAAUACCUUGAGUCCGUGCCAUGCUUCCAAAAUAGAGCUGAUGCAGAACUUGACAAAGCUAAAAUGUUUGAAAUACUAUUAGCCCUACCAGAAUACAUGAUACAAGAACAAUGCUGCAGUAAUAAUCUCUAUUUCUUAUCUGAAUAUGUUUGCCUAUGUAAUUGAUGGAUUGGAGUUGUCAAUAUGCGCUGGGUUUAGGACCAGUAGGUUGUUUCUUGCACUCAAGGGGACAAUGUCAAAACCAAGAAAAACAGCAUAACCAUAGUGGAGCAAUAGGUAGUGGGUAAUAUGCAGUAAGCGUCCAAAUAUGCAAUUAAGAACAGGUUAGGAGAGGGACGACGAGAUAGACCAAGAGACAAGGUGCCACUUUAGUAGCAAAUAAUAGCCUGAUUGCAUGAGGACAUAGUGGUGCACAGAUACGCUCGAGUCUCAGAACAAACGCAAUGCCAGGAUGAGCAACUGGAGAUAACAUUCUACCUAUGAUACUAGAUAUAUCAUAUAUGACGGGUUCAUAAACAGAAAGGAAGGGUAGGCACUGUCUUACAGGUCUGUCAUUUAUCCAACUAAGGUAGUGUGCAUCCAAAUAACGGGGUACAAAAAUAGCUUUCGCAUACCAACAUGAGGGCAAAAUAUAUAAUUCUCAUAUCUUCUAAAGUGUCUCUUAGUUCUGAUGAUGAGUAAGCAUUUUGUACCAUUGAUUUUGCUUAAGAAAGGUGCUAGUCAACUUCUCCUAUUUACUGAAAUAAGAUUUCAUGAACCUACACCUUGAUGAUAAAAUCCAUCCCAGUGAAAGAAAAGAACAUCUUUAUAAAAGAAACCAUCAAACUGAAAUCUGGUAAGAUAAGAUAUUACAAGUACUGAAACAAAGAAGGUAAAUCAACAAGAAAUUAUGUCUGAACAGCAAACAAAAUCGAAUCGAACUAUUUUUUCUUUACAAGGCAAACAAAAUCAAAUGAAUAGAAGUAAUACAGAAAUUAUAGCGACAACAUGUUUAACGAAAUAAAUACUACAGCAACUAACCUAUUAGGGGGAAGCUACACCCAGUGUUUGGCUUCUUUCAUAUACUUCUGUUUGUGUACAUUUUAUAGAAGAGGGGUAAGCUUCCAGCUACAACGGAAUAUAUGUUCAAUCAAACAUCAAAGACGCUCACCCAUGAAAAUUUCACAAGAGCAAUAACAAAUUCCUUGAAGUCAGAAACUCAACCACCUGAUUCGAUCAAUUAGUUUGACGGGAAAGAGAUAACUCAAAAACAGUGAUCUUGAAAAGAAAUUGUUAACAUCGCCCAUAUAUACCCAAAAUUUCUACCCUAUGCUCUACCCCAAAAAACGGUCUUUUUAUCAACUUAUUCCAUGCACUAUGAAGCUCAGCCCGAAAGUACAUUUAAGUAUCACUAAGAAAACAAAGAAAUUAAAAGAAGAAGCUAAACAUACGUGAAGCUCUAAGCACCAAAAAUAGCAAAGAUAGUCAAUGGAUGAGAGAGUGGUACAUGAAUUUAAGGUCCGAAGGUAGCCCUGAGUCAAUUAGGCGAUAGAUCUGCUCUCAAAGACGAGCGAUGUACAUACAUUAGUGCGGUAUUUUGUCCAGGGCCCCGGGCCUAAAGGGGGCCUCGUGGACCUUGUUUUGAAC
rnacentral:lncRNA from 1 species